UCGAGAAUCUUCGGCAAUGGGCGAAAGCCUGACCGAGCGAUGCCGCGUGCGGGAUGAAGGCCUUCGGGUUGUAAACCGCUGUCGUAGGGGAGAAAGGGUCGUUGAAGAAACGACUUUGAUCUAUCCUAGGAGGAAGUCCGGGCUAAGUUCGUGCCAGCAGCCGCGGUAACACGAACCGGACAAACGUUAUUCGGAAUUACUGGGCUUAAAGGGUGCGUAGGCGGUGCGGUAAGUGCGGUGUGAAAUCCCACGGCUCAACCGUGGAAUUGCGCUGCAUACUGCCGUGCUAGAGGGAGACAGGGGUAAGCGGAACUGAUGGUGGAGCGGUGAAAUGCGUUGAUAUCAUCAGGAACACCGGUGGCGAAAGCGGCUUACUGGGUCUCUUCUGACGCUGAGGCACGAAAGCUAGGGUAGCGAACGGGAUUAGAUACCCC
rnacentral:rRNA from 1 species